rnacentral:rRNA from 1 species
UACGUAGGGUGCAAGCGUUGUCCGGAAUUAUUGGGCGUAAAGAGCUCGUAGGCGGUUUGUCGCGUCUGCUGUGAAAUCCAGGGCUUAACCCUGGACCUGCAGUGGGUACGGGCAGACUAGAGUGCGGUAGGGGAGAUCGGAAUUCCUGGUGUAGCGGUGAAAUGCGCAGAUAUCAGGAGGAACCACCGGUGGCGAAGGCGGAUCUCUGGGCCGUAACUGACGCUGAGGAGCGAAAGCAUGGGGAGCGAACAGG